GACGGAGGGUGCAAGCGUUAUCCGGAAUGAUUGGGCGUAAAGCGUCUGCAGGUGGCGGGUCAAGUCUGCUGUCAAAGACCGGGGCUUAACUUCGGAAAGGCAGUGGAAACUGAACAGCUAGAGUAUGGUAGGGGCAGAGGGAAUUCCUGGUGUAGCGGUGAAAUGCGUAGAGAUCAGGAAGAACAUCGGUGGCGAAGGCGCUCUGCUGGACCAUAACUGACACUCAGGGACGAAAGCUAGGGGAGCGAAUGGG
rnacentral:rRNA from 1 species